UUAAAGCAGACAUUUUAGCAGUGUCCUAAUUCCACACUACAUAGUAUACAUUAUGUACUACAUACUUAUUGUUAAAAAUUCUGUUUUUGCAGUUAACACACAAAAAAAUGAACAUACGAACUCUGCAAUAUGUACACCGACAGACAUCACUCAAACCGCAACUUUGAAAUCACACUGCCAGUUGAACUUCGCAGAGAGAAAGCAAAAUAUUUUCUUUUCUGAGGUCUUUCUGUAGCUGCUCUCCCACCACCUGCAAUUUAUUUGCUUUUUGGGUUUUUUUUUUCCCCAACCGCGAGGAGCUCUUUCAUUUCCUUCGUACAAUACAACAAUACAUUGUGGCAAAGUAAGCCUUUUUCACAGCAGACGUUUUGAUUUGUCAUUGCAGGAAAUGCAUAGGUGUUGGCUCUGUUCUAUUCAAGUGUCCAGUAUGUUCCAGCAUGAGAGUUGCGGUGAUUGACGUCAGCGUACCUCCUGUUUGAGUGAUGAUGUGGGGAUGCGGAUUGCCUCAGACAGUACUCUGUACAUCCCAGCUAUGAUGUGACUGAGCCGAUCCUGUGGGAUGGUACUGCUCUCUGCUACCGCCUUCAUCACGUCUCUGCAGUCCUUCCCCUCCAGGGCAGUGACCACAGCUGGAGAGAAUAUUAUUCAAAAGCACAUUUUACUCACUCAUUAAAUGGCUUUACCUGCUAGUA